rnacentral:snRNA from 1 species
AUACAAUGGUUUCUCUUCAGACUUUAUAGAUCUUUUGCCUUUUACUAAAUAUUUCUGUGGAGAGAAACAAUUCUGAGUUUAUACCCAAUUUUUUGAGGCCCUGUGUCAAUAGGGCU